GGCUGGUCAGAUGGUAGUAGAUUAUCAGAAUUUAUUAACAUUAGUGUCAAUGGAUUUGCUAUACAACCCCCUCACUGCCAAAUUUGACUGGCUUAAU
ensembl:misc_RNA Y_RNA Y RNA